AGAACAAUGCGGGAGUUGCAGAGAGAGGUGUCCUGUGUUUGUUCCCAGUCUUCCUUCACUCACCUGCACCUGCUCCUGCCCUGCUUCGGCCAACAUGUUCUAUGCAGGCAGCAGAGUUCAUAUCAAGGGCCCAUGUUUUAACUGAAUAUAAUGAAUUUUUUUUUUCACCUUGGAAGAGUCUUAGAGGCAAGAUUAGAAUGUUCAUCUAAAAGGAGUGCAAAUUUCUUCAACCAUUCCCACGGAGGAAGGUCUACUCUGUGAAAAGGAAAUGAUCAUACAUAAUUCAUGCAUUUGCUGUACGGAUUUAAUUAAAUGAUAGACAAAAAGUAGAGUGGCACAAGUCAAACUCAAAAAAUAGUAACAACAAAAUCAAUUUCAAAAUAAGCAACAGCAAUAAAUGUUACCUACUAUUUUACGAAUGAAAAUACUGAGACCAAUAAAGGCAUUAUAGUAUACAUAGCCUUGGAAUCAGAAGACCAAGAACAUACAAGAGAACAUAGCCUUGGAAUCAGAAGACCAAGAAACAAUUUAACUCUGCCCCUCUAGAGCUCUGAGAACUUGGGCAAGCCUUUUACCCUCUGUGAGUUUCAGUUUCCUCAUUUAUUUAAUUGAAAUAAUAAUAC
rnacentral:lncRNA from 10 species